rnacentral:rRNA from 1 species
AAUAGCAGCCAUAUCACCCUGCAGCCCAAGACUGGUUGCCCACUGAAGCUAAGCAGGGUUGAGCCUGGUCAGUACCUGGAUGGGAGACCUCCUGGGAAAACUAGGUUGCUGCUGGAA